rnacentral:rRNA from 1 species
ACGAACGCUGGCGGCGUGCUUAACACAUGCAAGUCGAGCGGUAAGGCCCGUUUCGGGGGUACACGAGCGGCGAACGGGUGAGUAACACGUGGGUGACCUGCCCUCAGCUCUGGGAUAAGCCUGGGAAACCGGGUCUAAUACCGGAUAUGACUCCAUGACGCAUGUUGUGGGGUGGAAAGCCUUGUGCGGCUGAGGAUGGGCCCGCGGCCUAUCAGCUU